UAGAUACCCGGUAGUCACGCCUAACGAUGCGAACUGGAUGUUGGGUACAUUACGGUACUCAGUGUCGAGCUAACGCGUUAAGUUCGCCGCCUGGGGAGUACGGUCGCAAGACUGAACUCAAGGAAUUGACGGGGGCCCGCACAAGCGGUGGAGUAUGUGGUUUAAUUCGAUGCAACGCGAAGAACCUUACCUGGCCUUGACAUCUGUCGAAUCCUGCAGAGAUGCGGGAGUGCCGCAAGGAACGACAAGACAGGUGCUGCAUGGCUGUCGUCAGCUCGUGUCGUGAGAUGUUGGGUUAAGUCCCGCAACGAGCGCAACCCUUGUCCCUAGUUGCCAGCACGUAUGGUGGAACUCGUAGGGAGACUGCCGGUGACAACCGGAGGAAGGUGGGGAUGACGUCAGUCCUCAUGGCCUUACGGCAGGGCUACACACGUACUACAUGGUCGGUACAGAGGUUGCGAGCCGCGAGGUGAGCAUCCAGAAACCGNUCCAGUCCGGAUUGGAGU
rnacentral:rRNA from 1 species